rnacentral:lncRNA from 1 species
AGUAUUUUACUUUGGAAAUAAAAACCAGAAGCCAAAGUUUUCUCAAAUGAGGAAAAUGAAGAAGAUGGUGGCACCCAAAAGUGUUGAAAAAGUCAAAGGAUCAAGGGUACAUGUUCUAUACCACAACACAAGAAAUUUGGAAGGGGAUCAUACUAACAUACUUUGCUAUUAUUGCCUACUACAACAACAUGAAUAGAAUUUGGUAAGAGAUGAAUUCAUACUAACAUUAUGAAUGGAAAAAUGUGGAAGAUAGUGUGUUGUUUAAGACAAUUUAAGAGAAGGAUAAGGUCACUGAAUUUUUGGAAGGUUUGAAUCCGGAAUUUGAUCAACAAAAAGUGGAGUUUUGGGGAAGGAGCCAAUCCAGUCCAUAAGAGAACUCUUUGCCACAAUCAGGAAAAAAUAAAGAAGAAAGAAGACUCCAAUUGUUGAUGAAAAAGUCAAAUUCUCAAUCAAUCACAGGGAAUAAAAUGCUGGAAUAUUAAGCACUUGCUGUUCACAAACCUGAAGCUGUUGUUUUUGGAAGACUGAGGUAUAGAAAUGAUGAAAAAGAUAAGCUGUGUUGUGAUCAUUGUCACUGAUCACGUCACAUUUAUGAUAUAUGCUGAAAGCUUCAUGGGAGGCCUCAAAAUUGGAACAAAAACAAUAGAAGGCAAGGUAGCAGUGGUCAUUAUUUUUCUAAAAUUUUCAUUAUUAUUUUAAAAAGUUCUUAAGCUUUAUAACUAGUGUAUUGUGUAUAUUACACAAAACCAAUCCAAUAUCAAUCUACCUUGGAACUUGCCUUGAGCAAAAAUAAGCUUUGCUUUGGGACAGUGAAGGUGGAUAUGAUUUUCUGAUUCCAACCCCUCCCUUUUAGCUGAUCCAAAGUUAAUUCUUCCCUAUGAAGGUUCCCAAGCCAAAAAGCCAACCCUCCUUGAGGACACAAGGGUUCCACACAAUGCCUCAAGGGAACACAUUGAGUCAACAGAUAGGGGUGAGUAAUAGGAUUUAGCUAUAAAGAUGUCUCCCUUUGAUACCUACCAAACCAUGAAAUCAUCAAAACCCCCUUCUAAUUGUGUGCCCUUGCAACCUUCUUUCCACCUCUCAGACCAUCUCACAACCAAUAUUUUUUGAAAAAUGCAAGUUAAAGAUUCCUCAAUUAUCAUGCAUUUUUUUCUUUCACACAUUCACAUUGUUGUGUCAUAUUGUUGCCAACAACUAGCACGAUAUUUCAAGCUUGCUCCUAACAUCUCCAACAUAUACACAAACCAUAGUUCAAGUUUUAGCUGAAACUUAUCAUCACCAAUUUUGGCGAGGGGAGAUACGGAACCAUGUCUUAAUACAAGGAUAUGCAAGUGAAUUCUGUUAAUGCAAAGUUCAAAGCAAUGUACAAAUAACAGAUUAGUUCUGACACUUUGGCAAAGGACAACUCAAAUAAUUUGCCAGCCUUUGGGUCGGCCAUAUCGCACCAUAAUGACCAAAGACCUUAUUUUACUGUCAACUAUCUAUGCUCAAGAUUCUUCUUAAAUUAGGAGCAUAUCUAUUUUGGGGUCAUAAUAUGUUUUUAUGGCACAUUUAAUUGGAAGGGUAACUGCAUUCCACUUCAAGAAUCUAACUUUGGCAAAAGUACGGCCUUUUGGCAUGUCAGGAAGUUCUAUAACAGGAACAUUGUGUAUGAUUGACCGAAUAACAAAGAAUUGAAAAACCGACUUACUGAAUCCACCAAUGGAAAACCAAACCUUAAAUGGUGUUCUUUGUUGCACCAAAUACUGCAUAUUUCCAGUUAGAAGAACCCAUUUAUUACAGCUACAGGGAAAGAAAAAAGAACCACCUGCUAGUUCGUAUGGUAUGAGGUCCAACACUCAGAAAUAAGGUAAAAAUGUAAGGCAUCCUUGAUGAGAAGAUUGUAUGACAGCGAGAGAAAGCACACCUGUACACAGUCAUGUUACCUCACAUGAAUGCUAACAAGUGUGCUCUCUCUCUUUGUCAAGCAAUUGCAUGUCAAAGCUUGAACUAAACAUCUGCAGAACAAGGAAACAUGCUAAGAAAAUAUAGUAGCAAACAUAUAUUAAACUGAGAAUUUUCUGAUAACCAUGGUUUGCUCACCAAGGUGAUGGACUAUAAUGUAAUAAGCUGUCAAAAGCCUGCAAAUUUUUUUUUUAGCAAAACAAACACCAUCCCAUGCUCGCUUCCCCAAAAUUCCCUAAUAUCGACAGCAACCAAAGAGAGCAUAAGCAAGUCCUCGAAAAUUAGUAGGAACACCUUUAACCUCAAAGUGAUUGAGCUCCCUUAUUCAUCUUAAAAGCAGCAAAAGAACAUCCACUAACCCAAAGUCUUUCUAGACUCAAAUUUACAAAUGAUAUCUAUAUCUACAACAAAAGAAUAAAAAUAAGUAAACAAAUAUAGACUAUCAAUAAAAUCCAAUUGCAUAACAAGUUCACCCAGAUUUUUCCGGCAUGAAAUUUCAAAUAAUAAAUAGAUUCCACAUCAAGCAAUAAAUUAAACAAGCAUAGCAAAGAAAGAAUUUAACCAAAUUGUCACAGUUUAUUAAAAAAAUUUAUAAGCAGCAACAGCACAUGUACAUAAACACAAGACCACAUGCAUCAAAACAAAGACGGAUCGAUACCACUCCGAACGCAUGGACACCACAACAAGCUUAACACUCUACUUCAGAAGCCUAGCUAUAGCUCUUUCUUUUAGCAAAUUGAACUUGGAGCUUUCUACUAGAGGAAUAGUCACAAAAAAUCAAGGAAAACCAACAUAAAAACUUUAACUAGCUCCCUAUUUCUCUGGAACUAACAACAAGCAAGACAAAAAACGGCACAGAAAAAUUAUCCAACAGUUAAAUUUUGAUAUAUAAGAGGAAGUAGUAUCACAUGCAUGAUAACAUUGAAAUAAGAGGUGAAUCUACCCCUGAUAAGCCUAUGAUUGAACUGUUAAGUUUCUUAAGUAGGUAUAUCAUCAAAAACCUAAAGCAAUAUCUAUUGUCAUUGAUUAUAAAACUAAGAAAGAAUCACUACCAAAAUAUAAAAACAACCAUCUGAAACUGCCAGAAGCAUAAAAAACUUUUCCACAAUUAUUGAGUUUAAAACAAAUACAAAACCCAAAUAUUGGUAUGAAAGCAACUAAGGCAUUAUUAAAAUGCAAGUUUUGGAGUCUAUCCCUCGUUAAAAUUGUAAAACCGAAACUUUUCCACAGCCAACCCAACAUCUUCCAACCCCGAAAUCUGAAAACACGGCCUGAAUCAUGGGUAUAACAAAUUGAAAAGCAUAAUAACUAGUUCCGACUCCAAAAGACUAAAUGAGCGAGUACCUAAUAUAAUCCGAAGGGUUUGCAAAAAUAAAGAAAGAAAAAAAGGGUUCAUCCACCAUAUUACCUUGAAAACCCUAACCUUCCGUUUGGUUGCUGAGAAAGCCAUGUAAAACGCAUGAAAAUAAAAUGCUUAAUAACAUGCUUUAUACCGUUUUAGCUUCCAAAACAAGGCAAAGCACACAUCAACCAAGCCAAAUAGAUGUAGCCACUUCAACAACAAGAUUCAUUUCCUCGUGGGUUUCAGACAAUGGAAAACCACCCAUAUACAAUCAAACAACCUUUUUCUUUUCCUUUCCUUUCCUUCUUUUCCUUUCCUCCAUUUUCUCCGCAAACAAACACGAUAUAGUAGACUCAGGCAUGCACUUCAACAGAACCAAAAACAGCACACGAAAUGCAGAAAACUAAUAAAAAGUUACAUCAGAAUAGAUCAAAUGGACAAUACCAUGCACUGUGAUUCCCAGAUCUACUACCAACAAAAUCUCAAAACUCAAAACCCAUAAAACAAAAAAAAUAAAAAAUAAAAAAAUAAAACAAAAAAAAGCAACAGAAACACCAAAAAUAACAACAAUAAUUGGGAAGAUGAUCACCUUCAUCAUCACAUACAGAUAACCAUUCUGAAGAAAUACACAGAGAGAAUGAAAAUUUUUCAGGAGAUUUCAGAGCCUUUUUAUAGCAAGAGAAAAAACAGACAUGGAGGAAACCUAGAGUGCUCCCGUCUUUUUUCGACCUUAUGUUUACUGCUCCCGUCUUUUCCGCCCUACAUGUGAGUCUUCGACAGCCAUAAAUCAUCCAUGUAGCCUGCCACCUUUAUAUGUACCACAUUUUGUUCAACGCUUCCAACUUCUCCUAAGUCCUAAUAUGGUGACGAGUUAGCCUAUAAAAAAUAUUGUUGUUAUUAGGAUAAAAAAUUAAUAAUAAAUAUUAUUAUCGUGAAUUCACUGAAGGCCCAUUUUGGGAUCCGAGUUCGCUUUAGUAUUAUAAUAUUAAUAAAUGUAAAUUCACUGAGAAGUGAGCCCCCGUGGCUGCUGCGGAUGAAAGUUUCGAGGAUUGGUGCGGGUGAAAGUUUCGAGGAAUAAUAAAAUAAAAUAACAAACAGAGUGGACAGAACAAUAAAAUAAAAAACAAUUGGAAAAGAAAAAAUUAUCGAUCAAUGCAUUUUCUUUAUUUUUUAUUUUUAUUUGAGAAAAAUAUACCGAAAAUCUUUUACUAUUUACUCUCAUUUGUUAAUUACUUGAACUACUUCUCUCCUAACCAAUUUCUCAGCAUAAAAUAACACUCCAUUUGUAAAAAUAACCCUCAUCCUUCAAAAAACUUAAAAAUGUCCCUAAACAAGUUUCUUUUAUUUUCAUCUUAAUCUUUUAUUUACUUUUUCUAAUAAAGAAAGUUGAGCUUCUCUCAUUUACUCUUCAUUGCCGGUUAUUAAAAUAAAUUAAAAGAGGCUAAUGAUCAAGAUUAUUUUUCCUCCACAUUUUUAUUCUUUAUAUUUUUUUUUCUUCUAUGAUAAAAAAACAAAUCUAAAAACCUUACUUUAUUACUAUAGACUAAAAAGAGGAACUCGUCACUAUUAGCUAUGAAAAAUGACAUCAAAAGUCAAAUAAUGGUAGAAAGUGAAUCUCAUGUAUGGAAAAUCAUGUUAAUUUCAAUAUUAUUAAUGAAAAAUGAUAUCAAAAGUCAAAUAAUGGUAGACAAUGAAUCUCGUGUAUGAAAAAUCAUGUUAAUUUCAACAUUAUUAAUCAAUUCUCAAUCAAAAUAUUCAAACUUAAUUUAACUAUGAUUGAGUUUAAUUUAUAAAGACUUAAUUGGAGUUAAGUUUUCAAUCAAAAUAUUUACCUAGAUCUAACUAUGAUUAAGCUCCAUUUGUGAAGAACUUAACUAAGGUUAAGUUUUUAUUCACUUGAACUUAAUUAAGAUUUAGUUUUAUUUACAAAUAAAUUAACAAGAGUCUAGUUCUCAAUUAAAAUAUUUAGCUAGACUUAACUAUAAUUGAAUUAUAAUUUAUGAUAAACUUAAAAGUUAAGUCAUCAAAAAAAAUAUUCAUUUGAAUUUAAACUAUGGUCGUUUAAAUUUCAUUUGCAAAUAAAUAUUAGAUUAUGUUCAUAUUUAAGUUAAAAUUCUCAAUUUAAAAAUUUUAUGUGGACUUGAUUAUGAUUUUUAUUUAUAAAGAACUACCCACUAAUUUUUCAAAAUCAAAAUGUUUGCAAAAAUUUCACCUUAACUAUAGUUAAGAUGUACUUAUGAAGAGCUACUAAGUUAAUGUUUGUAAAUCAAACUAUUCACCUAAAAUUUGAUCAUGUAUCUAUCAACAAUAUACAAAGUGUUAAUAACAAAAUAUAUAAUAUUCUAAUCAAAAUGUUCACUUGGUUUGAAAAUAUGUUUUUACUAUAUCAAACUAUGUUAAAAAAAUUAAAAUUUCGAAUACAAAGUAAAAUUCCUUCAAAUUAAGAGUCAAUCCUCAACAAAUAUGAACUCAUUAUAUGAGCAGCUUUUGAAAACAAAACAAUUGUCUUGUCCUUUUCUCUGAAACCAAUUUACACGAACCUUGAUUAAUGACCUAGAUAGAUGGUCAUACAUCAAUUAUUCUCUAUAUUUGAUUAAGAACAUUCCACAAUCACACUGCAUGAAAAAUCAAUUAUCAAAAUUAAGAUUAUUAUUGAAAAUAAUUAUAUAAAACAUAAUUGUAAAAUGACGAGAUGAAAGUUUGAAUGUGUAUUCAUAUUCAUGUUGAUAAACAUUAUGCAAUUGUUCCAUGUGCUUAUCACCAUUUUCUCUAUAUAUAAUACACCACAACAUAUAAUACAAGAGAUAACAAACUAGUUAAAUGUGUGAUGACACCCUUCAACAGAUUAUCACAGUUAAUAUCUAUCAAUGAGACAUAUUAAUAUGGGUUCCAAGAAAAUUAUAUUUAUUCAAGAUAACAAAUGAUAUAGGUUGAAAGACGAUAUUAAACAUCCUAAAACAUCCAAAAGAACCUACAAGCCAAGUUAUGUUUUACAUUAAUAAUUUAUGAAGUGUAGCUUCUUUGAAAAUUUUAUUUUAGAUAACCAAGUUAGAAAUUCUUUUGUUGAUCGAAUAAGUUCUCAAUUUAUUUAUCCAAAUAGCUUUUUAUUUAAUUUUUUAACAUCUACUUUUAAGUUAUGCUAAGCAAAUUUAUUUUUCAAUAAAAAUUUCUUCACAAAUUUAUUCCUAAAAAGUGUAAAUUUAAUCCUAAUAUAACAUUUUUUAAUAAGCUUUCUAUUAUUGAAUUAUCCCUACUAUGAAUCAUAGUCUAGCUCCUCUAAACACUACAUAAUAGUCAUAUAUUAAAAGACACUUCACAAAAACUCUAAAACUAAUAUUUCAUCAUAAAAAAAAAAUAUGAAAUAUCUUUUAAUAUUAAUUAUCAUUUCAAACUAUUGUACAAUAUAAGAAAACUCGUGCACAAUUUCCCAUCAUAGAAUUUGGAAAGCUUAGAUUUGAUCAAGAUUAGAAAAAUAAGAAGCACUUAACUACAUUCAUUCAUAAAAGAAAAGUAAUUAUUAAACUAUAAAACUUAUUUUUGUAUACUAUAUUGUAAAGUGUUAUUCUCCACUUAUAUAAAUAACUUAAUUUCAAACAUAAAUGUAUAUUCUCAAUCAAUAUAUAUUCUACACAAGCAAGAAACAAAUUCCUAAAAUCUCUAAAAAUCCAUAAUUUUUUGUCCUAAAAUAGAAAAUAAACUCAAAUCAAAUGCUAAAAAUGUUAUCUAAUUCAUUAUAAAUUCAAGGCUAGUAAUAAUGAGAAUAUUUUAAAAAUUAUAAAUGUCAUUUAUUAUUUAAAACACACAUCGAUCCCUACUUUCCUAAAUUUUUUAAAAAACAUUAAGUAGUAAAUCAUUACAUAACAUUGUCCUACAAAUCAUAGUUGUUAUAUAUUAUCAAUUCAUUAAUUUGAAACAUACAUAAAUUCCCAAAAAUUUUAAAAUUUAGAAAACAAAGACUAUAGUACUUAUGAACUCAUUGACGACUAGUGGGUUGUGUUCUCUUUGUUAUUUUGAAGUCUCUAUCUCUUAUCACUUUUCAAAAACUUAUUUUUUGCUUCUUACUUGAAGAUUAGGCAUGAAGCAUUUUCAAAGACGAAAAUACAACUAAAUCAAGAAGGGAAUAAGAAGUGAUGAAGGUUUUCCAGGGUUUUCAUUCUUUACCUCUAAAAGAGAAAGGAAAAUUUUGAUGGUUUGAAUUAAGAGAGAGAUAAGAAGUGAGAGAGGUUUGUUACAAUUUUCAAAGGGGUUUCUAUUCUCUACAUUUGAAACUAAACGACGAAGAAGAAUUUGAAGGGUGAUUGAUUUCAAAAAGUGAAGAAGUUGAAAGUGCAGAAAAUAGCUUGGAGUUUCACACAAGAGUAAUAACGGUGUAUUCCAAGGAAACAAAAGAAAAAGGGGUUUUUUGUCCUACAAGGAUCAUUUUUAAUAUUUUUAAAGCAAGGGGUUAAUUUUGCAAAUAUAGAUGUUAUAACAACCCUUUUAACCAAAUAACCCUUUCAUGAACAUGUCUCAAACUCCGAUAUGAGAUUUUUUUAACUUCCUAGAGCACAUUAAAAAAUUUGACACCAAGAUGAUAAUCUUUAAAAGCUUGAGGAAUUGAGGAUUCCAAUGGACACCCCCUAAACCCAAGCCAAACACAUGUAUCUUCCUUUACUCCCUCAAAGGAUAGGACAUCUCCUUGAAAGAUAUUACAAUCUUAAAUAAUAAUAAUAAUAAUAAUAAUAAUAAAAUAAAAGUAGUCUUAGUGACAAGGAGAUUGAAGUUUUUGGAUUUCAAAACAUUAUUGAUGAGAAUGGUUUGUUAAUUUUGAGAUUCGAAGAACAAUAGCAUAAGUAUAAUAUUAAUAAUAAAAAAUAAAAAUAAUAAUAAAAGGGUUUAAACUAUAUGUUUAUAUAUUUUUGUAAUAUAAACACAAAUUUGGUUAUUAUAGAAAGUUUUAACAUUAUGAAUUCCUUUUCAAAGUAAAUAAAAUGUAUAAAAAGCAUAAUAUUCCUUUGAAUACUUAUUAGAACAUAGUUCAUAAUCAAUAAGAUGAUGAAAUAAAGAUCAUGUCUAGUUUACACAUCAUGCGCAUAAAUCACUUACAUAACUCAUAUUCAACUUCUCAUUCAAAUAUGCAAAGCACACUCAACUUGCAAAAUUUAUGAUUUAAGAUGAUUCAAAAUAUAAGAAUAGGAUUAACAUUCAUAUUGUAAUUAAUAAUCUUUGGAAUUGUAGAAUGAACUACACAUUAUGUUUUAGAUGCAAAAUUAUAGAUUGAUUUUCGAGUUACCUUACCUGAAAUCCCCACUUCAAAAUAAUUUAUGUUCCUUCCAAUUUAGUGAUAAAACUUCUUCACAAUUUCCAAGAGUUCAUAAUUCCUAAGGAUAAAUAUACACCUAUGCUAGCCAAAUUAAAGGAAUAAUUAUAGUGGAUCCUCCACAUUAUAGUUCAAUCAUCUACUAGUUCUUAAAUGUUUAGCUCAAAGUAAGUUAUUUCAAAUCUUUCCACCCUUUAUGACAAUGGAAGGAAUUGGACUCAGUUUUUCCAAUCAUAUAUUGCUCUAGACUAGCGGCAACAAUUUUGCUUCACAUACUCAAUUCAAGAACAACUCAAUAAAGCUAGAAUAAGUAUCUUCAAUAGAAACUACACACAAACAAAUGUUCAAUCUCAAUUUAUCAUUCAAUAUUAUCUUUUGAUUAUCUUUUUGCAGGCUUAAACUCAUAUUUUUAUUUUGAAUUUGCCAAUCCACUUUUGACCAAUGAGAUUUUAUGUUUUAUUUCCAAAGCUAUGGAUGUUUCUAAUGACAACUCAAAACUCUAUCAACUUUCUUUGUGCGACUAUGUCAAAUAUGAAAACCCUUAUUUUAUUUAUUUACUUUUUUUUUUAAUAGGUAAAUCAAUUGUAUUAGAAGUGCCUAAUGUAGGGUACACAAAAGUGUACAUUAUGUAUACAAGGUACUAAAGACAAAAAAAGAAGAGGUAUACAUAAAAAAACACCCUCGCCUCACUUACAAUCCAGCCAAACAAUAAAAUCAAAUAAUGACAAUGAGUUAAAACCCAAAUGCACCGUAAAGAGGGGAUAAACAAAAAAUAACACUCUCGCCUAAAUUACAAACCAGCCAAACAAAAUCAAAUAAUGACAAUGAGAUAAAACUUAAAUGCACUCUAACCCAAUCCAAGAACAUGUACAUAAAGGACCGCAUAAUUACUUGGCCUGCCAUUUCAGAAUCAUCAAAGGCUUUCUAAUUUCACUACUUCCAAAUGGCCCAAAAUAAGCACAAAGAAGUUUCUCUCCACAAUUGCUUUUCUUCCCUACAAAAUCUCCAUACCAACUAAGAAGGGCAUCAUUGAUUGAAGGUGGCUGCACCCACUUAACACCAAAUAGAGCAAAAAUAAGCUACUAAAGCAUUGCUACUUUAGGGUAAUGAAGGAUGAUAUGAUUUGUUGAUUCCUUUUCUCCUUUAAAAAACAACACCUGCUCCACAAAUAUCAACCCCCCAAAAAUAAGCUACUAAAGCAUUGCUACUUUAGGGCAAAGGACAACUCAAAUAAUUUGCCAGCCUUUGUGUCAGCCAUAUUGAACCAUAAAGACCAAACACCUUAUUUUAAUGUCAACUAUCUACGCUCAAGAUUCUCCAUAAAUUAGGAGCAUAUUUAUUUUGUAGCCAUGAUAUGUUUUUAUGACACAUUUAAUUGGUUACACUAAAUUUCAGUACUUCCUGACAUCUCCAAAGGUGUUAUGUAAUUACGAACAAGAAAAAUGGAAGGGGGACUGCAUUCCACUUCAAGAAUCUAACUUCAGCAAAAGAACCGACGUUUUGGCACAUCAGGAAGUUCUAUAACAGGAACCUAGUGUAUGGUUGACUGAACAACACAGAAUUGAAAAACCGAAUUACUGAAUCCACUAACAGAAAACUGUACCUUAAAUUAUGUUCUUUGUUGCACCAAAAAUUGCAUAUUUCCAGUUAGAAAAAGAACCCAUUUAUUACAGCUUCAGGAAAGAAAAAAGAAUCACAUGCUAGUUUGUAUGCUAUGAGGUACAACUAAAGAACAAGGUGAAAAUGUAAGCCAUCCUUGAUGUGAAGAUUGUAUGAUAGCGAUAGAGAGCACGCCUGUAAACAGUCAUGUUCCUCACAUGAAUGCUGACAAGCAUGCUCUCUCUCGUUGUCAAGCAAUUAUAUGUCAAAGUUGAAUUAAACAUCUGCAGAACAAUGGAACGCACUAAGAAAUAUGGUAGCAAACAAAUAUUAAACUGAAAAUUUUCUGAUAACCAUGGUUUGCUCGCCAAGGUAAUGGACUAUAACAUAAAGAUGCUUUAGAACCUCAAAAUGCAAUAAGCUGUCCAAAGCCUGCAAAAUUGUUUUCAGCAAAACAAACACCAUUCCAUGCUCCCUUCCCGAAAAUCCCCAAAAAUUAGUAGGAACACCUUUAACCUCAAAGUGAUUGAGCUCCCUUAUUCAUCUUAAAAGCCCAAGUCUUUCUAGACUCAAAUUUAAAAAUGAUAUCUGUAUCAACAACAAAAAGAAUAAAAAUAAGUAAACAAAUACACACAAUUAGUAAAAUCCAACAACAUAAGAAGUACACCCAGAUUUUUCCAGCAUGAAAUUUCAAAUAAUAAAUAGAUUGCACAUCGAUAAAUUAGACAGGUAUAGCAAACAAAGAGUUUAACCAAAUUGCCACUGUUUAUAAAUUUUUUUCUAAGCAGCAACAGCACCUUUACAAACACAAGAUCAAACACUUGAAAACAGAGACAGAUACUACUCUGAAGAUGGACACCACAAUAAGCUUAACACUAGACUUCAGAAGCCCAUCUUUAGCUUUCUCUUUUAGAAAAUUGAAAUUCAUCUUUUCUACUAAGGGAAAUAACAACAAAAGGAUGAAGGAAAAAGAACAUACCAACCUUAAUAUGCAUGAUAAGAUGAGGUGAAUCUUUCCCAAAUAAGCAUAUUAUUGGACUGUUAAGCUUCAUACCUUGGUUUAUCAUCGAAUUGACAGAAUUCCAAGGUAAAUAACCUAAAUCGGAUAUAUAUUAUCAUUGAUUUCAAAAACAAGCAAGAAAAAAGAUAGAUCUCUGAACCAUGAAACCUCAAAUCUAGCAAGAAUCACUACCAAAAGAUUAAAACAAAUACACAAUCCAAAUAUUUGUAAAAAAGCAACAAAGACAUUAUUAAGCUGCAAGUUUGUCCAUCACUCUCAUUAAAAAUGUAAAACAAGAACAUUUACUCACCAAAAAUGCCACUGGCAGCGAACUCAACAUCUUCCAAGCAUGAAAUCUGAAAACCUGGCCUGAAUCAUCAGCAUCACAAAUUGAAAGCAUAAUGCCUAACUCAAAUUCCAUAUAAGUAAAAUAAGGAGCAGCUGAUAAAAAAAAUGUCAUUUAAAAUAAUACCUGGGAAACCCUAACCCUCUGUUUGGUUGCUGAGAGCACUAAGUAAAACGCAUGAAAAUAAAAUGUUAAAUUAGAUGUUUUAUUCCGUUUUAGUUUCACAAAAAGCAAACCAAACAUCAACCAAGCGAAAUAGAUGCAGUCCCCUCAACUAUGAAAAGAUUCAUUUCCUUUUGGGUUCCAACCAAUGAAAAACCACUCAUAUGCAAUCAAACUUUUUCUUUCUUUUCCUUUCCUUCCCUCCAUCUUCUCCACAACCAAACACGGUAAAGUAGACUCAAGCAUGCACUUCAAUAGAACUAAAGACAACACACAAAUGCCCAAAAAAAAAAAAAAAUCAUAAAAACUAAAACCAAAAUAAAUCCGGUGAAUUGAAAACCAUGAACUCUGACUCCUAGAUCUACCACCAACAAAAAUUCAAACUGAAAACACAAAAAAAAAAAAAAAAAAAAAGAAAUCCAGAAAAAAAAAAAAAAGAAAAGUAACAGGUCUUAGGAAUAUCAUCCCCUUCAUGAUUGUUUUUAGUUUGCUCCAUCUUUAGUUCACUUUCAGCUUGUUUUCAGUUUGUUUCUUGCAUAUCUUUUGUUUGUUUUAAUUGCUACUUUAGUGGAUCUUUUUGUUUGAGCCAUUUUCCUGUUGUUAGUAGAGUUAAAUCUUAAGUUUCAGUUACUUUAUUGUUCUAGGCAGUAGUUAGGGGUGUUUUCUUGGAGAAUCAAGGCCUCACCUUAGAUUUUUCUAACCUCAUUGAUAAGCAAAGUCCAAGUUAGCUUAUUAGCAACUUCUAUUCCAUAUAAAUGAAGCUGUGUUGGGGUGUGUAAGGAGUAAGGGAUAGUUCUUGAACACUUAAGGGUUCUAUAGUUCUCUCUCACAUACACUUUGCACACUACUUCUUGGUUUUAAGCUGCUGAGUUAGACUUUUAACAGUUGUGAAAGACUCCAAAUAAACUGCAUUUAGUCUUAGGAAGUGAAUAAGAUGCUACUCAGGUUCAAAGAGAGUGUCAAGGUCUCUUCUCCUAAAGCAAGAAUCAAGGAUCAACAAUGUUUUGCCAGAAAUAUUUCUCUCUAUCCUUGCUGCAUCCCUUCCUACUGAUUCUGUUGCUUCCCUAUUCAUCUCAACAAUAUUUUCUUAGACAGAUUCACCAAUCUCAAUUGCUUUAGGAUUUUCUAAUUUGUUCAGGUCCUUCAGAAGCAAUUUCUUUCUCAGCAUUUUCAGUAUUAAUUUCCUCAAUCUCCCUUUCAAUUGGUGGAUCAGUUUCCAUGGCAGCAUCUUUCUCAGUUUCAGCAGUGAUUUCCUCAUCCCUCUGCUCAGCUUUCUCAUUAAUUUGCUCAACAGCAUUCUUCUAUGUAGGCUCAGACUCUUCUCUACCCUGCUCUUCAGUUUCCUCUCCUUCAACUUCAUCAUUAAUUCUUCCACUUGGCUUCUCCCCCAUCAGCAUGAUCACAGAAGUGAUCCAUACCUCCUCAAAAAUAGUCCUGAUCAUCACCAUCAUCAUUGGAAGGAGGAUGAGAUGUAUUAGCAGCUUUCAUCAUUCAAUAAUUCAUUAAAGUUAGGAUCUGGUUUUUAACCCCCUCAUUGAUCGUGUUCUCAUUGAUCUCCAAGUCUUACAUUUUCUUGUGUACACCCCCCAUUGAAAAUUUCGAAGGCAUUAAGCUUUUCUUCCACAAAUUAGGUAUUUGGGGUCAUUUCCUUACAUUUUCUCCUACAACUAACUCAGCUUCAUGUCACGAACUUAGGUAUUUCUUAAGCUCACGUGCAACACUGAGACAACCCAAGAUUCUUUAAGUUGCUAACUUAACCCUACCCCAAGCUUAGCUCAUGAUGCCAAGCAAAGCUACUUGACUUUGAAGCUAAGAUACACAAUUGUAUUAAACAUGAAUAGAAUUUGGUAAGAGUUGAAUUCGUACUAAGAUUAUGAAUGGAAAAAUGUGGAAGAUAGUGUGUUGUUUAAGACAAUUCAAGAGAAGGAUAAGGUCACUGAAUUUUUAGAAGGUUUGAAUCCGGAACUUGAUCAACAAAAAGUGGAGUUUUGGGGAAGGAGCCAAUCCUGUCCAUAAGAAAACUCUUUGCCACAAUCAGGAAAAAAUAAAGAAGAAAGAAGACUCCAAUUGUUGAUGAAAAAGUCAAAUUCUCAAUCAACCACAGGGAAUAAAAUGCUGGAAUAUUAAGCACUUUCUGUUCACAAACCUGAAGCUGUUGUUUUUGGAGGACCGAGGUAUAGAAGUGAUGAAAAAGAUAAGCUGUGUUGUGAUCAUUGUCACUGAUCACGUCACAUUUAUGAUAUGUGCUGAAAGCUUCAUGGGAGGCCUCAAAAUUGGAACAAAAACAAUAGAAGGCAAGGUAGCAGUGGUCAUUAUUUUUCUAAAAUUUUCAUUAUUAAUUUUAAAAGUUCUUAAGCUUUAUAACUAGUGUAUUGUGUAUAUUACACAAUACCAAUCCAAUAUCAAUCUACCUUGGAACUUGCCUUGAGCAAAAAUAAGCUUUGCUUUGGGACAGUGAAGGUGGAUAUGAUUUUCUGAUUCCAACCCCUCCCUUUUAGCUGAUCCAAAGUUAAUUCUUCCCUAUGAAGGUUCCCAAGCCAAAAAGCCAACCCUCCUUGAGGACACAAGGGUUCCACACAAUGCCUCAAGGGAACACAUUGAGUCUACAGAUAGGGGUGAGUAAUAGGAUUUAGCUAUAAAGAUGUCUCCCUUUGAUACCUACCAAACCAUGAAAUCAUCAAAAACCCCUUCUAAUUGUGUGCCUUUGCAACCUUCUUUCCAUCUCUCCCAUCUCACAACCAAUAUUUUUUGAAAAAUGCAAGUUAAAGAUUCCUCAGUUAUCAUGCAUUUUUUUCUUUCACACAUUCACAUUGUUGUGUCAUAUUGUUGCCAACAACUAGCACGAUAUUUCAAGCUUGCUCCUAACAUCUCCAACAUAUACACAAACCAUAGUUCAAGUUUUAGCUGAAACUGAUCAUCACCAACUUUGGCGAGGGGAGAUAUGGAACCAUGUCUUAAUACAAGGAUAUGCAAGUGAAUUCUGUUAAUGCAAAGUUCAAAGCAAUGUAUAAAUAACAGAUUAGUUUUGACACUUUGGCAAAGGAAAACUCAAAUAAUUUGCCAGCCUUUGUGUCGGCCAUAUCGCACCAUAAUGACCAAAGACCUUAUUUUACUGCAUUCCACUUCAAGAAUCUAACUUUAGCAAAAGUACAGCCUUUUGGCAUGUCAGGAAGUUCUAUAACAGGAACAUUGCGUAUGAUUGACUGAAUAACAAAGAAUUGAAAAACCGACUUACUGAAUCCACCAAUGGAAAACCAAACCUUAAAUGGUGUUCUUUGUUGCACCAAAUACUGCAUAUUUCCAGUUAGAAGAACCCAUUUAUUACAGCUACAGGGAAAGAAAAAAGAACCACCUGCUAGUUGGUAUGGUAUGAGGUCCAACACUCAGAAAUAAGGUAAAAAUGUAAGGCAUCCUUGAUGAGAAGAUUGUAUGACAGCGAGAGAGAGCACACCAGUACACAGUCAUGUUACCUCACAUGAAUGCUAACAAGUGUGCUCUCUCUCUUUGUCAAGCAAUUGCAUGUCAAAGCUUGAACUAAACAUCUGCAGAACAAGGAAACAUGCUAAGAGAAUAUAGUAGCAAACAUAUAUUAAACUGAGAAUUUUCUGAUAACCAUGGUUUGCUCACCAAGGUGAUGGACUAUAAUGUAAAGAUGCUUUAGAAUCUCAAAAUGCAAUAAGCUGUCAAAAGCCUGCAAUUUUUUUUUUUUGCAAAACAAACACCAUCCCAUGCUCGCUUCCCCAAAAUCCCCUAAUAUCGACAGAAACCAAAGAGAGCAUAAGCAAGUCCUCGAAAAUUAGUAGGAACACCUUUAACCUCAAAGUGAUUGAGCUCCCUUAUUCAUCUUAAAAGCAGCAAAAGAACAUCCACUAACCCAAAGUCUUUCUAAACACAAGACCACAUGCAUCAAAACAAAAACAGAUCAAUACCACUCCAAACGCAUGGACAUCACAACAAGCUUAACACUCUACUUCAGAAGCCUAGCUAUAGCUCUUUCUUUUAGCAAAUUGAACUUGGAGCUUUCUACUAGAGGAAUAGUCACAAAAAAAUCAAGGAAAACCAACAUAAAAACCUUAACUAGCUCCCUAUUUCUCUGCAACUAACAACAAGCAAGACAAAAAACGGCACAGAAAAAUAAUCCAACAGUUAAAUUUUGAUAUAUAAGAGGAAGUAGUAUCACAUGCAUGAUAACAUUGAAAUAAGAGGUGAAUCUACCCCUGAUAAGCCUAUGAUUGAACUGUUAAGUUUCUUAAGUAGGUAUAUCAUCAAAAACCUAAAGCAAUAUCUANNNNNNNNNNNNNNNNNNNNNNNNNNNNNNNNNNNNNNNNNNNNNNNNNNNNNNNNNNNNNNNNNNNNNNNNNNNNNNNNNNNNNNNNNNNNNNNNNNNNUCUAUUGUCAUUGAUUACAAAACUAAGCAAGAAUCACUACCAAAAUAUAAAAACAACCAUCUGAAACUGCCAGAAGCAUAAAAAUUUUUCCACAAUUAUUGAUUUUAAAACAAAUAUAAAACCCAAAUAUUGGUAUGAAAGCAACUAAGGCAUUAUUAAAAUGCAAGUUUUGGAGUCUAUCAUUCGUUAAAUUGUAAAACCGAAACUUUUCCACAGCAAAAAGCCACUGGCAGCAAACCCAACAUCUUCCAAGCCCGAAAUCUGAAAACACGGCCUCAAUCAUGGGUAUAACAAAUUGAAAAGCAUAAUAACUAGUUCCGACUCCAAAAGCAUAAUAACUUUUUCUUUUCCUUUCCUUUCCUUUCCUUUCCUCCAUUUUCUCCGCAAACAAACACGAUAUAGUAGACUCAGGCAUGCACUUCAACAGAACCAAAAACAGCACACGAAAUGCAGAAAACUAAUAAAAAGUUACAUCAGAAUAGAUCAAAUGGACAAUACCAUGCACUGUGAUUCCCAGAUCUACUACCAACAAAAUCUCAAAACUCAAAACCCAUAAAACAAAAAAAAUAAAAAAUAAAAAAAUAAAACAAAAAAAAGCAACAGAAACACCAAAAAUAACAACAAUAAUUGGGAAGAUGAUCACCUUCAUCAUCAAAUACAGAUGACCAUUCUGAAGAAAUACACAGAGAGAAUGAAAAUUUUUCAGGAGAUUUCAGUGCCAUUUUAUAGCAAGAGAAAAAACAGACAUGGUGGAAACCUAGAGUGCAAACGAAGGGUCAACUGCAGAAGAAAGACAAAAAAAUAAAAUAAAUAAAAGGAUAAAUUAAAAAACAUUAUUUUGAUUUGUGAAAGGGAUGAGGUAC